UGGGGAAUCUUGCACAAUGGGGGAAACCCUGAUGCAGCGACGCCGCGUGAACGAUGAAGCCCUUCGGGGUGUAAAGUUCUUUCGGCAGGGACGAUAAUGACGGUAACUGCAGAAGCAGCUGCGGCUAACUACGUGCCAGCAGCCGCGGUAAUACGUAGGCAGCAAGCGUUGUUCGGCAUUAAUGGGCGUAAAGAGUGCGUAGGCGGUGGGCUAAGUUUGGUGUGAAAUCUCCCGGCUCAACUGGGAGGGUG
rnacentral:rRNA from 1 species